rnacentral:sRNA from 1 species
AAGCAUGUCAACGACCGCCAUGUCGCA